AGUGAACGCUGGCGGUAGGCCUAACACAUGCCAGUCGAACGGCAGCACAGUAAGAGCUUGCUCUUACGGGUGGCGAGUGGCGGACGGGUGAGGAAUACAUCGGAAUCUACUUUUUCGUGGGGGAUAACGUAGGGAAACUUACGCUAAUACCGCAUACGACCUACGGGUGAAAGCAGGGGAUCUUCGGACCUUGCGCGAUUGAAUGAGCCGAUGUCGGAUUAGCUAGUUGGCGGGGUAAAGGCCCACCAAGGCGACGAUCCGUAGCUGGUCUGAGAGGAUGAUCAGCCACACUGGCACUGAGACACGGUCCCGACCACGACGGGAGGCACCCGUGUGGACUAUUGGACCAUGGGCGCAAGCCUGAUCCAGCCAUACCGCGUGGGUGAAGGAGGCCUUCGGGUUGGAAAGCACUUUUGUUGGGAAAGAAAAGCAGCAGGUUAAUACCUCGCUGUUAUGACGGUACCCAAAGAAUAAGCAACGGCUAACUUCGUG
rnacentral:rRNA from 1 species